rnacentral:rRNA from 1 species
GACGAACGCUGGCGGCGUGCCUAAUACAUGCAAGUAGAACGCACAGUUUAUACCGUAGCUUGCUACACCAUAGACUGUGAGUUGCGAACGGGUGAGUAACGCGUAGGUAACCUGCCUGGUAGCGGGGGAUAACUAUUGGAAACGAUAGCUAAUACCGCAUAAUAUUAAUUAUUGCAUGAUAAUUAAUUGAAAGGUGCAAUUGCACCACUACCAGAUGGACCUGCGUUGUAUUAGCUAGUAGGUGAGGUAACGGCUCACCUAGGCGACGAUACAUAGCCGACCUGAGAGGGUGAUCGGCCACACUGGGACUGAGACACGGCCCAGACUCCUACGGAGGCAGCAGUAGGGAAUCUUCGGCAAUGGACGAAAGUCUGACCGAGCAACGCCGCGUGAGUGAAGAAGGUUUUCGGAUCGUAAAGCUCUGUUGUAAGAGAAGAACGGGUGUGAGAGUGGAAAGUUCACACUGUGACGGUAUCUUACCAGAAAGGGACGGCUAACUACGUG